rnacentral:rRNA from 1 species
GACGAACGCUGGCGGCGUGCUUAACACAUGCAAGUCGAACGGAAAGGCCUCUUCGGAGGUACUCGAGUGGCGAACGGGUGAGUAACACGUGGGUAAUCUGCCCUGCACUUCGGGAUAAGCCUGGGAAACUGGGUCUAAUACCGAAUAUGACCACGAGACGCAUGUCUUGUGGUGGAAAGCUUUUGCGGUGUGGGAUGGGCCCGCGGCCUAUCAGCUUGUUGGUGGGGUGAUGGCCUACCAAGGCGACGACGGGUAGCCGGCCUGAGAGGGUGUCCGGCCACACUGGGACUGAGAUACGGCCCAGACUCCUACGGGAGGCAG